AGUGAACGCUGGCGGUAGGCCUAACACAUGCAAGUCGAACGGCAGCACAGUACUUGCUUGCUCUUUCGGGGGGCGAGUGGUGGAUGGUGCCUGAAUAUCUCCGUAUUUACGUUUUCUUACGUGCUAACAUAGGGGCACUUACGCCAUUACCGCAUACGACCUACGGGUGAAAUCUUCGGACCUCAGGCUCUCCGCUGAUCCGAGGUCGGAUUAGCUAGUUGGUGGGGUAAAGGCCCACCAAGGCGACGAUCCGUAACUGGUCUGAGAGGAUGAUCAGUCACACUGGAACUGAGACACGGUCCAGACUCCUACGGGAGGCAGCAGUGGGGAAUAUUGGACAAUGGGCGAAAGCCUGAUCCAGCCAUACCGCGUGGGUGAAGAAGGCCUUCGGAUUGUAAAGCCCUUUAGUUGGGAAAGAAGGGCAGCAAGUUAAUACCCCGCUGUUCUGACGUUACCAAAAGAAUAAGCACCGGCUAACUUCGUG
rnacentral:rRNA from 1 species